UACGGGGGGGGCAAGCGUUGUUCGGAAUUACUGGGCGUAAAGGGCGCGUAGGCGGUUGGAUAAGUCAGCUGUGAAAACCACGGGCUUAACUCGUGGCCUGCAGUUGAGACUGUCUGGCUUGAGUGUGGGAGAGGAGAGUGGAAUUCCUGGUGUAGCGGUGAAAUGCGUAGAUAUCUGGAGGAACACCGGUGGCGAAGGCGGCAUCCCUGGGACCAACACUGACGCUGAGGAGCGAAAGCCAGGGGAGGCAAAACGGG
rnacentral:rRNA from 1 species